rnacentral:rRNA from 1 species
GAGUUUGAUCAUGGCUCAGAUUGAACGCUGGCGGCAGGCCUAACACAUGCAAGUCGAACGGUAACAGGAUGUGCUUGCACAUCGCUGACGAGUGGCGGACGGGUGAGUAAUGCUUGGGAACUUGCCUUUGCGAGGGGGAUAACAGUUGGAAACGACUGCUAAUACCGCAUAAUGUCUACGGACCAAACGGGGCUUCGGCUCCGGCGCAAAGAGAGGCCCAAGUGAGAUUAGCUAGUUGGUAAGGUAACGGCUUACCAAGGCGACGAUCUCUAGCUGUUCUGAGAGGAAGAUCAGCCACACUGGGACUGAGACACGGCCCAGACUCCUACGGGAGGCAGCAGUGGGGAAUAUUGCACAAUGGGGGAAACCCUGAUGCAGCCAUGCCGCGUGUGUGAAGAAGGCCUUCGGGUUGUAAAGCACUUUCAGUUGUGAGGAAAAGUUAGUAGUUAAUACCUGCUAGCCGUGACGUUAAC